rnacentral:lncRNA from 1 species
AUGCACAGGCUGGGACACCAACGCUGGGAGUCGGGAAGGAAGAGCUGCCAUGCAGUCAAGGGACCAGGGGCUCCAGAGUGCGGGCCUGUGACCGCUCAGUGCUGGCCUGGCUCCAUGCACCAAGAAGGAGAAGCCCAGCCAGCCACCCCUGAACUGCUCCUAUUCCCAGCACAGUCAAGAAAGAGCCGCCAUCAAAACGGAAACGCUGGGACAUCGCUCAACCCAAGUUGCAAAGCUCUGCAGGCCUGUGAAACUUUUUUUUUUUCUUCUUUAAAGGCCACUGAUUUUUAGUUGCACAUUCACUUACUUGGUGAGGGGGACAGGUGUACAUCGUGGAAAUCCCACCAUCAGGUUUCCUGGGGCUCUUUGCUACCUAAGAAAUAUGACCAAUAAGUUCACUUUGACUCACUGACCCCUCAGAUCAGCCAGUAAAAUGAAGCCCUUACACCGCAGCUUGCUCAAGGGGCGGUGUAAUUAUUUUACUUAAAAAUGAUGUCAGGUGGCAGUUGAGCAACAAACCAGCCUCCAGACUACUUAAUUCAGUUUAACAAGGAGGAAAAACCUUGUAAUUAACCAAGAGCUUUUGCUUUAGGAGUUCAGUGAAGCUGUUCUCAAAGUUUGCAGAACCUCAGCUGGGGGGGAUGGGGGUGGAGGGGGCAGCUUGUUGAAAGUACAGGUUCCCAGGCCCCGCUUGUAAAUCAUGGGCCAGGCCUGGGACUCUGCAUUUCAGAGAAACCCCAUUUGCAAGUGCUGCUUCUGAGCAUCACUUGGUCUCACUGGGCUUUUAGAUAAGGUAUGCCCUCAUUUUCUGCUCUAACUCUCCAUUGGCUAAGUCUAGAAUCCCAGGACCAUCUCCCAUCCUACAGCAACCAACUUUGAGCUGUUUUCUUGGAGUUUCAUAGUAUGUCUGUUCCCUUUUUGGAGUUCCAGUUAGCCACAUUUCUGGAUGGAAGUUCUUCCAGGACCUUCUUACAGAGGGCACAGAAUGUUCCCCAGAGGAUAGGGAAGGCUCUGAGUCCCUUCUUUAGGUGCGGGGGAGGGGUGCACCUGCGGCAUGAGGACGUUCUGGGCCAGGGAUCGAACCCUUGUCACAGCAAUAACCUGAGCCACAGCAGUAACACUGGAUGCUUAACCCUCUGAGCCGCCAGGGAACUCCAUUUUUCCUUUUUUUUUCUGAGUACCUUCUUUUACAUACCCCUGCCCCAGGAUCACCAGGGCUAUCGUGCCUGAUUGAUGCCUUCUACCUGGAGGAAAGGGAAAAUCGCCCUUGACCACCAAAGUCCCAUCUUUGAGCCAUGUCCACGUGCUUCCCAUCUCUGCCUUUCCACUGCCGAGCAUGUCCUGGCGUGAAGGCUCCUUAGAACCACAAUCCCGAGAUCACUUCCCUCCUGGAAUAAAGAAUUGCAGAGGCUCA